UUGAAAACAAGCAUGGCAUCGGUCUGACUACACAUGUCUGACGGUCAUUUCCACAUUUACCAUUACAUCAGGUGUUCAGUUUUCCUUUAUCUAUUUCAUCUUUUAACACACGGCUACACUACACUGUUCAAAUAAACGGUCUGGUAAAUGCGUAGAGUUGAGCCAGGACACUAUGAAACUUGACCGACCCGCGCACUUAGAUGGGUACCCCGUUUGCGAUGCGAAUGCGAUUCGGCGUGAGCACAUCUGACGCUAUUUAUAGGAUCUCACUGGGUAGCCUACGACAGGCGUUACAGGUGUAUGGUCGAGAAAACGCGGAAGUGACGUUAAUGCUCACAAGACAAGGAUUAAACCAUUGGAUUACUGUAAUUUGACGGCUAGAGCUGGAAUCCACCGCUCGGUCUCCGAGUGAAAAAUAAAAACGGUGACAGACUUGAAGGGUCACGCCAGUUUUGUGAAGAGAACAGACCGCACUGUACCAGGACAUGGUUAUCAGCUCUCAGAAAGGUCUCUCCAGUAGAAGUAUAAACUAGGCCCCAUCGGUCAGCGUGUGGUCAGCGGUCGGUCGGCAGGCGAGGCGUGGCGUCCCAUGCACACGCCCAGCGGCACCAUGGGUAGUUCGCCCGAGGUCCUGUCCUGGACCUCCUGCCCGAGCCUGCUGGUGGGCAAGCUGAAGGAGGAGCUGAAGCUGACCGUGGUGGGGGGCGACCCGGCCGCCAAGAAGAACAGCAACAACCCCCCGGCAACAACAACCCCCCCGGCAACAACAACCCCCCCUCCAACGUGACCAACGCAGCGGGCAACAACCCCCAGGGCCCCCUGGCCCCUCCUACCUCCGUGCUCCUGCCCCCCCACAACACCCCCACCUCCGGCGGGCCCGUCGCCAACCCGCCCCCCCAGAUCAUCACGGACCUGGCGCCCCCCACGCACCUGCCCGUGCCCCUCCAGCAGCUGCACCCCCCCGGGCGCGGCGGCAUCGG